UACGGAGGAUCCGAGCGUUAUCCGGAUUUAUUGGGUUUAAAGGGUGCGUAGGCGGCCUGUUAAGUCAGGGGUGAAAGACGGUAGCUUAACUAUCGCAGUGCCCUUGAUACUGAAGAGCUUGAAUAUAGUUGAGGUAGGCGGAAUGUGACAAGUAGCGGUGAAAUGCAUAGAUAUGUCACAGAACACCAAUUGCGAAGGCAGCUUACUAAGCUAUGAUUGACGCUGAGGCACGAAAGCGUGGGGAUCAAACAGG
rnacentral:rRNA from 1 species